UAUCUCUCACUCCUCCAUCCCGCCGCCCCAUUACUCCCCCCUCCCCCCUCCGUGGCUUGCGAGCUCCCCAUUUCCCAGCGAGCCGCGCCGCCCAAACCCUCUCCCGCCCCCAUCGCGGUGCUCCCCAAAGGGCUACCUCCAUCUUAUGCUGCACAAAUACCAGCGAGAUCUGGGUGGACGGGACACGGGCGAUAUCGUCAUCAACCGCCGCCCCCUGGCGCCUUGUGCGGGGUGAGGGGUGCCGCACCGCCAAGCCACGAUCCUCUCUCCUCUCUACCGUGGUGUAAGUGGUGCGGGGAGGCCCGUGCGCCGUCGACGGAGAUCUUGCCCGUAAGUACUACCCCUGAAAGGGUUCGUGGAUGACACAUAGCACAGAAGAGAAUGAAUUAAAAGCUGAAACUGAUGAGGAAGAUUUAAUAUCAGAAGAAAAGGAGUGUGAGUGAAGCGGAAGUUAGAUUGAAAAAUAAAUUUCAUUGGUCAGGCUUUGACUGAUGCAAGCCAAAUUCAUCCAUGACCUGUUUUGCUCAAUUUCCCCUGUUGGCAUGAUGGAACAAAAAAUGCAAGUUAAAGUAGUGGUUAAACUAGUUCAAUAAGGUAUUGGUUAAGCUUGCCCUGUGUUGUAAUAGUUAUUGAAAAUCUUUCUAUCCAUUUUAGAGGA